CUCUUCCCUUCUGUGGGACGUGUUUUGAGGACUUGUGUGUUGACUGCACCAUGCAGAGCAUAUAGCAUGGAGGCACCCCUACUGCCAUCGGGGGGCAGGUGGAGGGGGGACCGUCCUGCAGCUCCUCCCUGGGGCUACCCCUCUCUUCCCUCUGCACAGACCUGGCAGCCACCCAGACGUCCCGCCUGCUGCCUAGACUCUAAGAAGAUGCCCUAUCACUCCAAUUACCAUACACAGUACUGGCGGGGGAGAGGUCCUGCCUUGCCGCUGAAAACUGCACUGCUUCCUCCCUCCAGGGAUGAAAGGCCAAAAGAACGAGGGCAGUGUGGAGUCUACGCUCUCGCCAGGGACCUGCAGCCUCUCACUUCCAAGCACACCAACUCCAGCUAACAGGACUGGGCUUCCUUACCUGCCGCCUUCCGCUGCCUCCCCGCAGACACAGCUUCAGCGACGCCCAGGCUGAGACGGCAGAAGAGGUUCCCGCCGGCCGCGGCCUGCCCUCAGGCAGUGGCUCCCAGAGCUCAGCGGUUCCCCGCACUCUUCUGCGCCCGACUCCCCAUGCCCCUACAUCCUGCGUCCCCUUCAGCCCCGGAGGUACCGUGGGGCCCGGGCCUGCCAGUCACCACCUCCUCCUCCGCCGGCGCCUCCGGGUCCUGAGCCCCUCGCCGGGUCCCUCUCCCUCCUGGGGCUCCUUCCCGUUCAGCCUCCGGGGCCCUACCCCGCUCUCCCCGACUCCCCCGGGCCCGGCCUGCGCCUUCCUGCGGUGCCGAGGAGCGGUGGCGCCCUGGGUGAAGAAGUCCCGCCGAGUCGAGGGGCGCAAUGGAGGAGCGCCGGAACAGGUCUCUCAUUCCGAGUAGCUACCGUUGCACUGUGCGAGUGUAAAAGUCACUUCCACCCGGUCUCAGUUGUUCCAACCUCAGUUGAAGUGAGGAGGUUGGACUGGAAGGUUUCUGGGGUCACUCCAGUGAGGCUGGGGUUCUAGUCCCAAUCUCACCGUGGCACCCCAAAGGCCCAGAAACCCGGACCAUCACCUCUCUUUCCCCGGGGCCAACGGAGCACUCCUGAAGGAGGGAGGGUUUGUCUCAGGCCUGACGAUUCCUGAUGAGGACUUGGGCAGAAACAGCCCCAGGCAAGCGGACCUUCAUUCCUGCACUUGAGCCGUCUCCUCCCUGCCCCCACCCCAGAAGGAGAAAACCCAGCGCUCGGAUUCCCAGCGGCGGGGCAGCCUGCAGGCCCUGUUCCCAGCCCACAGACCCAUGUCCCAGCCCAAACGGAGGCAGCCCUGGGCAGCGGGCGCGUGGAGCCCAAGGGCUCAGGGCCACUCAGCCCUUGUUACUGUCCCUCAUCUAGAAAAUGGAUGUAAUAACAAAACAGUUCACGGUAGGUGGCAAGAUCAGACACAUCGGAAACUGUGUAGGGCUGGCUCUUUCUGCGCUCACACUGUCCAGCAAUGGGCCCCAGGGACUUGGCCAGAGCGCAGUAGGGCAAUGAGAAAGGGGUGGCUUCUGGAAACCUACACGAGGCCCAGUCUGGGUGGAUUUGGGUGGCGGUCCCUUGCCUGCGAGGUGGGCAGGGCAACUUUCUACUAAAUUAUCUAACACUGCCAGUAAUGGCAGCCCUUCCCCAGGGAGCCAGGAGGCUGGGCCAGGACCACCCCCCUGUCGCCUGGCUUCAGGAAAGAAAGUGGGGAAGACAACAGAUUUGGGAGAAGGAAACUGAGGAGGUUUUCUCCCAGUCUCCCUCACGCUGCCUCAGUCAUGGCCAUUGCUAAGACUCACAGAGCCCAACUGUGCAAGGCCCUGCACUUCGCAUUCUUCUCAUCCAACCCCAUGACAACCCAAGGAGACACAUAAUAUCCCCAUUUUACACGUGGCAGAACUGAGGUUCUACAUGGCCAAGUGACUUGUUCAGUGCCAUACAGCUGGUAGUAGUGAAGCCAGGAUUCAAAUCCAGCUUUCCGACUCUAAAGUCUAAGGCACAGACCGAGUGUGGUGACUCAUGCCUGUAAUCACAGCACUUUGGAGGCUGAGGAGGGCAAAUCAUUUGAGCUCCCAAGUUCAGGACCAGCCUGGGCAACACGGCAAAACCCUGUCUCUACAAAAAAAAUAGAAAAAUUAGCAGAGCAUGGUGGCACGCACCUGUAAUCCCAGCUACUCGGGAGGCCGAGGGGGGAGGAUCGCUUGAGCCUGGGAGGUGGAGGUUGCACUGAGUAGAGACCACACCACUGCACUCCUGCCUGGGCAAUAGAGCCAGACCUUGCCUCAAAAAAAAAAAAAAUCUGAGGCACAAAAAAGCAACGCCAAAUCCAGGGGCCCUGCUUCAGGAAGCAUCAGGACUAACUAGAUUUUAUUGGUCAAUAGAUGCAAACAACUGAUUUAGAGCAAACUUCCCCUCCAGUAAAUCAAGCUCCAAAUCAAACAAAGCUAGAGGUCAAAGCGCCUCCACGCUGGUUGGUCCUGCUCCUAGGGCAGCACAGCCCCCCAUUUCCCCAGCCCCCCAUCUCUCCAGUUUCCCUCAAGAAGCCAGAGCCAUGCCCCAUAUGCACCUCUAGUGUAGGAUUAUCUGGAGCUUUAGGUUCAAAGGAAAGAGUGAGGUCUCCUGCUCCCUUCCUCCCUCCCACCCUGUUCCUCACCAACUCCUGGACGGUCCCUGCCAUGCGGUUGAGAACUGGGGCUAUGCUGGGAUGUGUCCGUGACACUGAUCAUGGUGGCCAGAGAGACACCGAGGGAGACUGCUCUGCCACUAGGGAGCUGACAUGAGGAAGGAGCCCCAGACUAAAAACAUAAGUCUCAGGAGAUUUGGGAGGUGGCCACAGGGAUAACCCCAACCCUCUAAUUAACGUGCCUGAGCCAGUCUCCUCCUACAUCUGGAACUUUAGGAGAGCUGCCCACAGCAGAAUGACUCGGCAAGGAGAAGGGCUUGUCGGGUCUAGCUGGGAGUGGAGGUGGGCCAGGCUGCCAGAGGGAGGCUUUGGGUGGUGCCCUUAAGAGUCUCCUUCAUGAGCUGUUUUGCACUGUGAGGUAAGCAAGAGGGCAAGGAAGGCCAUUGCUGGGGAAUGGGCCGCCUGGCUCACACCUGCAGGCAGCUGCUAAGCCAAGAGUGGGUGGGUGCUGCUGAGGGAUUGGGCUUCUAGUUUGUUUGUUUUUAUUUUUUUAUUUUUUUGAGAUGGAGUUUCGUGCUUGUUGCCCAGGCUGGAGUGCAGUGGUGCAAUCUCGGCUCACCGCAACCUCUGCCUCCCGGGUUCAAGCGAUUCUCCGGCCUCAGCCUCCCUAAUAGUUGGGAUUACAGGCACCCGCCACCACGCCCAGCUAAUUUUUUGUAUUUUUAGUAGAGACGGGGUUUCGUCCUGUUACCCAGGCUGGUUUUGAACUCCUGGCCUCAAGCAAUCCACUCAUCUCGGCCUCCCAAAGUGCCAGGAUUAUAGGCCUGAGCCACUGCGUACAGCUUGUUUUUAAAUAAAGCAGUUUUUAAAACUACUGUUGCAACCUUUUAGAGGGAGGUAAACUGAAUAUGGUGGAUUUUGAAUGACUAUUUUUUUGUUUUAUGAAAGAGGAUAAUAAUAGAAUAGAAAAUAUGAGAAUGUUUGGCCGGGUGCGGUGGCUCACACCUGUAAUCCCAGCAGUUUGGGAGGCCGAGGCAGGUGGAUCACCUGAGGUCAGGAGUUCGAGACCAGCCUGACCAACAUGACGAAACCCCGUCUCUACUAAAAAUACAAAAUUAGCCGGGCAUGAUGGUGCACGCCUGUAAUCUCAGCUACUUGGGAGGCUGAGACAGGACAAUCGCUUGAACCUGGGAGGCGGAGGUUGCAGGGAGCUGAGAUCACGCCACUGCAUUCCAGACUGGGCGACAGAGCAAGACUCUGUCUCUCUCAAAAAAAAAAAAAGAAAGAAAGAAAGAAAGAAAGAAAAUAUCACAAUGUAAUUUUUGAACUUUUUAUUGACGUACAGCAUACCUCCAGAGAAGUGCUGAAAGCUUGCAUUCUUACAGGUAAUACACCCAGCACCCAGAUCAAGAAAUGGAACAUAACCAGCACCCCAGAACCCUACCCUAAAAAUGUAAUUUAAAAAAAAAGAUUUUAAUAAAUAUCUUUUAGCGUGCCCUUU
rnacentral:lncRNA from 1 species